rnacentral:rRNA from 1 species
AUUGAACGCUGGCGGCAGGCCUAACAAAUCCAAGUCGAGCGAGCGGCGGUCGGGUGAGUAUUGUAUGGGAAACUGCCUGAAGGAGGGGGUUAACUACUGGAAACGGUAGCUAAUACCGCAUACCAUCAGAUGUGCCCAGAUGGGAUUAGCUAGUGGGCGGGGUAACGGCUCACCUAGGCGACGAUCCCUAGCUGGUCUGAGAGGAUGACCAGCGAAACUGGAACUGAGAAACGGGCCAGACUCCUACGGGAGGAAGCAGUGGGGAAUAUUGGACAAUGGGCGAAAGCCUGAUCCAGCCAGGCCGCGUGUGUGAAGAAGGUCUUCGGAUUGUAAAGCACGUUAAGUUGGGAGGCGUUACCAACAGAAUAAGCACCGGCUAACUCUGUGGCAGCAGCCGCGGUAAUUC